CGGCGGGUCAGUUGCCUCUUUCUGUUUUAUUACCUUGGACUCCAGGAGGAUCGUCUGAACCUGGUGACAUAGAGCAGCCUUUUCCUGGAGAAGCUCCUCACCUUUAAACAGGGCCCCCUGUGUAAACCCCUAAUUGGUUGCAUGAAUGCAGGGCCAGAGGGUUAGGUUUGGGGGCACUGGGGAGCAAGGUGGGAGUCCAGGUCGCCCCAGCCCCAGGUCUGCCCUCCAGGGGCAUAAAGUUGGAGGGUGCCCAACGAAGGGCCUCAUUGGCCGUUACUGCCAUAUGAGAAGAAGGUGAGCUGGGCAGAAGGAGUUUAGGGUCCUUUGGGGUCCAUUUGGGUGAGCUGGGGGUGCCCUCACCACCUUCCUGGGUUACCCUUCAGCUGCCCUGGCUAGAGCAUCACGCGGGCUUCUUGCCAUACCAGCAAGGCCAAGAUUUGGCUGGAAACACCCCGGCCUCAAAGAAAGCUUGGCAGUUACUCAUUGCCUAAUUUGAUUCAGGCCAGCCAGAUUGUAGUAACUUUUGGGUGACCCUGAUGAAGACAAAGCCGGGAUUCGGCCUUUGUAUGGCAGAGUCCCCGCUCCGCAGGCUGGGCGGGCGGGAGUCCUGCCUGCCUGGGGUUCUCUGCCCAACUCAGAAGCCACCUCUUCCGCCCACUUUUUGAUGCCAUGCAUCCUGACAGAUGUGAGGAUUCAUUCCCCCUUGAACUGUGCCCAUUUUGGGGAGCUGAUUUCAGGUGGGGUGAGUGGCGAGGGCACUGGAGGUUAGCAAAGUCAGUGGCAGACAAAAGCUGGGGUUACCUGUGGGGAAUGAGGGUGCUGGGAUUAGAACUACAUUAACAUCUGGCGGGGGCCCUCAUAUGUGCCACGGCAAGUCACUUGAUUACACGUAUGUUAUUUAGUUAAAUUUGUGAAAAUUAUGAGAUGCUCACCAACCCGGUGAUAAACUCACUCCCUCGCUAUUGGCUGGCCUGGUCACAUGGCCGCCAACUUUAUUCAGUUGACAGCAAGUAGGAGGGCCCUAUGGAAGGAGAAAAAAAGACAACACGAGAAAAAUUAGUAUUUUCUACCUUCUGAAAUUAAUGGCCAUGAGUUCGUAUAUGGUGAACUCCAAGUAUGUGGACCCCAAGUUUCCUCCGUGCGAGGAAUAUUUGCAGGGUGGCUACCUAGGCGAGCAGGGCGCUGACUACUACGGCGGCGCGCAGGGGGCCGACUUCCAGCCCCCGGGGCUCUACCCACGGCCCGACUUCGGUGAGCAGACCUUCGGAGGCGGCGGACCCGGGCCCGGCUCUGCACUGCCCACGCGGGGUCACGGGCAAGAACCCGGUGGCCCCAGCGGCCACUACGGUGCCCCGGGAGAGCCCUGCCCCGCGCCCCCGCCCCUGCCCGGCGCCCGGGCCUGCAGCCAGCCGGGCGGCCCCAAGCAGCCGCCCCCUGGGACGGCCCUCAAGCAGCCGGCCGUGGUCUACCCGUGGAUGAAGAAGGUGCACGUGAAUUCCGUGAACCCCAACUACACCGGCGGGGAGCCCAAGAGGUCCCGGACGGCCUACACCCGGCAGCAAGUCCUAGAACUGGAAAAGGAAUUUCAUUUUAACAGGUAUCUGACGCGGCGCCGUCGGAUUGAAAUCGCUCACACCCUGUGUCUUUCCGAGCGCCAGAUCAAGAUCUGGUUCCAGAACCGGAGGAUGAAGUGGAAAAAAGAUCACAAGCUGCCCAACACGAAAGGCAGGUCCUCGUCGUCGUCGUCUUCAUCCUCCUCCUCCUCUUGCUCCUCCUCAGCUGCCCCUGGCCAGCAUUUGCAGCCGCUGGCCAAGGACCACCACACGGACCUGACGACCUUAUAGAAGUGGGGACCCUGGGCCCACCCCUCCCUGAGCUCCCGGCUGAGCCGAAGCUGCGGGGGCAGGCCGGGCCUGCUGUCACCUCCCUGGGCUCUAAGAUUUCACAGUGCUGACCCAUGAGCUAACUGGUCAAUUCUCACCCAGUCACCGGAGAGUGGACUAUCUGCGUCUCUGUGAAACAUGCUGUGAUUUUGAAACCGGGUGGGGGAGAUAACUUUUUUUGAGAGCUCUGGCUUUUCUGAGUGUUAUAGGACUUUCUUUUGCCCAUCAAAACCCUGGGAUGACCUAAUGACUGACUUAUCCAUUCAUUCAUUCACUCAUUCAACAAGCAUUUACUGCACUUACUACAUGUGGUGCACUGGGCUGGAUGUCAGGAAUACGCAGGUGAAUAAGACACAGUCCCUUCCUGCAAAAAGC